CGCUGGCGGCGUGCCUAACACACGCAAGUCGAACGAGGUCCAAGGAAGCUUGCUUCCUGAAGACCUAGUGGCGAACGGGUGAGUAACACGUGAGAAACCUGCCUCGGAGUGGGGAAUAACUCGGGGAAACUCGAGCUAAUACCGCAUACCUUCACAUGAUCGCAUGGUCGAGUGAAGAAAGAAUUUCGCUCUGAGAGGGUCUCGCGGCCUAUCAGCUUGUUGGUGGGGUAACGGCCUACCAAGGCAACGACGGGUAGCUGGUUUGAGAGAACGAUCAGCCACACUGGGACUGAGACACGGCCCAGACUCCUACGGGAGGCAGCAGUGGGGAAUCUUGCGCAAUGGGCGAAAGCCUGACGCAGCAACGCCGCGUGCGGGAUGACGGCCUUCGUGGUUGUAAACCGCUUUCAGCAGGGACGAAAAUGACGGUACCUGCAGAAGAAGCCCCGGCUAACUACGUG
rnacentral:rRNA from 1 species